rnacentral:rRNA from 1 species
AGCGAACGCUGGCGGCAGGCCUAACACAUGCAAGUCGAACGCACCUUCGGGUGAGUGGCGGACGGGUGAGUAACACGUGGGAACGUACCUUUAGGUUCGGAAUAACGCAGGGAAACUUGCGCUAAUACCGAAUGUGCCCCCUCCUUUGACUAGGGGGGCGGGGAAAGAUUUAUCGCCUUUAGAGCGGCCCGCGUUAGAUUAGCUAGUUGGUGGGGUAAGUGGCCCACCAAGGCUACGAUCUAUAAGCUGGUCNGAGAGGAUGAUCAGCCACACUGGGACUGAGACACGGCCCAGACUCCUACGGGAGGCAGCAGUGGGGAAUCUUGCGCAAUGGGCGAAAGACCUGACGCAGCCAUGCCGCGUGAAUGAU